UACGUAGGGUGCGAGCGUUAAUCGGAAUUACUGGGCGUAAAGCGUGCGCAGGCGGUUUUGUAAGUCAGUUGUGAAAUCUCCGGGCUUAACCCGGAAAGGUCAACUGAUACUGUGCGACUAGAGUGCGGAAGGGGCAACUGGAAUUCUCGGUGUAGCGGUGAAAUGCGUAGAUAUCGAGAGGAACACCUGCGGCGAAGGCGGGUUGCUGGGCCGACACUGACGCUGAUGCGCGAAAGCCAGGGGAGCGAACGGG
rnacentral:rRNA from 1 species